rnacentral:lncRNA from 1 species
GGAGUUAGCGAAAUUACAAUGUGUGCGAAUCGGCAAAAAAUGCAAAAUAGCCCUUUUACCGUACAUUAUACAGAUACGCGCUCUUUGACUUUUUCGUAGAUCUAAUUGAGAUACACAUGAUUGUCAAUUUUUGUGUCAAUAUGACAAAGAGUUCAGGCAUGACACUCAACAAUGUGUAUUUUCACCUUAGGGGACAAGAAAAAAUUGACUUUUUUCUCCUGCCAUGGGGGGGCGCUCUUUUGGGGAGUAAAAAUUCCUUCACAAAUGUGUUGAUGGCUGGACAUUGCAUCAUCCUAGAAAACUUGGAGGCCAGUGAGGACAAAAAUAAAAAGUUAUAAGACUUUUAAAUAUUUGGAUUUUAGGGUUAUCUUUGGCGCCCCCUAGAACGUAAACCGUGGGGUGCAGCGUCAUGAUUUUUACAACUUUUAAUGGCCAUGGGGUGUAGAUUGGCCUGAGCAAAUUUGGUGCCGGUGGAACGAACGCCUUCGGAGGAGUUAGCGAAAUUCCAAUGUGUGCGGAUCGGCAAAAAAUGCGAAAUAGCCCUUUAACCGUACAUUAUACAGAUACGCGCUCUUUGACUUUUUCGUAGAUCCUAUUGAGAUACACGUGUGUGUCAAUUUUUGUGUCAAUAUGACAAAGCGUUUAGGCGUGACACUCAACAAUGUGUAUUUUCAUGUUAGGGGACAAGAAAAACUUGACUUUUUUCUCCUGCCAUGGGGGGGCGCUCUUUUGGGGAGUAAAAAUUCCUUCACACAUGUGUUGAUGGCUGGACAUAGCAUCAUCCUAGGAAACUUGGAGGCCAGUGAGGACAAAAAUAAAAAGUUAUAAGACUUUUAAGAAUGUGGAUUUUUGGGUUAUCUUUGGCGCCCCCUAGAACAUAAACCGUGGGGUGCAGCGUCAUGAUUUGUACAACUUUUAAUGGCCAUGGGGUGUAGAUUGGCCUGAGCAAAUUUGGUGCCGGUGGAACGAAAGCCUUCGGAGGAGUUAGCGAAAUUCCAAUGUGUGCGGAUCGGCAAAAAAUGCGAAAUAGCCCUUUAACCGUACAUUUGACAGAUACGCCCGCACUGACUUUUUUGUAGAUCUUAUUGAGAUACAUGUGUGUGUCAAUUUUUGUGUCAUUUUGACAAAGCGUACAGGCGUCAGGUGAGUUUUCACCAUAGGGGGCGCUAUGGAGCCAUUUUUCAUUUUUUUGUUUGGGCGACUUCAGAAUAUCAAAUUUUUCACCAGGCCCGGUCGUCCUCCAAAUUUCCUGAGUUUUCGCCAGUGGGAAGUGGGCCAUUUUCCAGUUUAAAGCGGAGGAAAAAUAACGAAAGAAGAAUCCAUCAGGAACAAGAGGGCUCUCGCAGCUGCUUAGCAGCUACGCUCGGGCCCUAAUAAUAAUAACUAGGGCCCCGUUGGGGCACUGGCGGGCCCGAGCCGUGUCGCGCCGCCCCCAACACGACCGCCUCUCCCUACCGAUCGCGUCACACUCAAGGUCCAAAGAUGGUGUGCGCACUUGUCUGUGGUCAUUUACAAUUAUAAUGAAUGGGAGGCGCAGUUUCUACCAAAAUGCUCGCCGCAGACAAACUACAUGUCCUAUUUGAAAAGGACUGGACCAUGAGUGAGGGCACAAACACAGCUAGGAUAUAUCCAAAUGGCAAGUUGCUCCUCCUUUCGGUUUUGCCGAGAGAGCGAUGUGUUUGAGUCAUUGAGCGAUGGGCAGGAAAAACUUGACUUUUUCUCCUGCCAUGGGGGGGCGCUCUUUUAGGGAGUAAAAAUUCCUUCACUAAUGUGUUGAUGGCUAGACAUUGCAUCAUCCUAGAAAACUUGGAGGCCAGUGAGGACAAAAAUAAAAAGUUAUGACUUUUAAGAAUGUGGAUUUUUGGGUUAUCUUUGGUGCCCCCUAGAACAUAAACCGUGGGGUGCAUCGUCAUGAUUUUUACAACUUUGAAUGGCCAUGGGGUGUAGAUUGGCCUGAGUAAAUUUGGUGUCAGUGGAACGAAAGCUUUAGGAGGAGUUAGCCACAUUCCAAUGUGUGCGAAUCGACCAAAAAUGCGAAAUAGCCCUUUAACCGUACAUUUUAUAGAUACGCGCCCAUUGACUAUUUCGUAGAUCUUAUUGAGAAACACGUGAUUGUCAAAGUUUGUUUCAAUAUGACAAAGCGUACAGGCGUGACACUCAAUAAUGUGAAUUUUCACCUUAGGGGGGAAGAAAAACUGGACUUUUUUCUCCUGCCAUGGGGGGGCGCUCUUUUGGGGAGUAAAAAUUCCUUCACAAAUGUGUUGAUGGCUAGACAUUGCAUCAUCCUAGAAAACUUGGAGGCCAGUGAGGACAAAAAUAAAAAGUUAUACGACUUUUAAGAAUGUGGAUUUCUGGGUUAUCUUUGGCGCCCCCUAGAACGUAAACCGUGGGAUGCAGCGUCAUGAUUUGUACAACUUUUAAUGGCCAUGGGGUGUAGAUUGGCCUGAGCAAAUUUGGUGCUGGUGGAACGAAAGCCUUCGGAGGAGUUAGCGAAAUUCCAAUGUGUGCGGAUCGGCAAAAAAUGCGAAAUAGCCCUUUAACCGUACAUUUGACAGAUACGCGCGCAUUGACUUUUUCGUAGAUCUUAUUGAGAUACAUGUUUGUGUCAAUUUUUGUGUCAUUUUGACAAAGCGUACAGGUGUUACACUCAACAAUGUGUAUUUUCACCUUAGGGGACAAGAAAAAAUUGACUUUUUUCUCCUGCCAUGGGGUGGCGCUCUUUUGGGGAGUAAAAAUUCCUUCACAAAUGUGUUGAUGGCUGGACAUUGCAUCAUCCUAGAAAACUUGGAGGCCAGUGAGGGCAAAAAUAAAAAGUUAUAAGACUUUUAAAUAUGUGGAUCUUAGGGUUAUCUUUGGCGCCCCCUAGAACCUAAAGCUUGGGGUGCAGCGUCAUGAUUUGAAUAACUUUUAAUGGCCAUGGGGUGUAGAUUGGCCUGAGCAAAUGUGGUGCCGGUGGAACGAAAGCCUUCGGAGGAGUUAGCGAAAUUCCAAUGUGUGCGGAUCGGCAAAAAAUGCGAAAUAACCCUUUAACCGUACAUUUGACAGAUACGCCCGCACUGACUUUUUUGUAGAUCUUACUGAGAUACAUGUGUGUGUCAAUUUUUGUGUCAUUUUGACAAAGCGUACAGGCGUGACAGUCAAUAGUGUGAAUUUUCACCUUAGGGGGCGCUAUGGAGCCAUUUUGCAUUUUCUUGUUUGGGCGACUUCGGAAUAUCAAAUUUUUCACCAGGCCCGGUCGUCCUGCCAAUUUUCAUGAGUUUUCGCGGGUGGGAAGUGGGCCAUUUUCCAGUUCAAAGGGGAGGAAAAAUAACUAGGACCCAGUUGGGGCACUGGCGGGCCCGAGCCGUGUCCGUCCCCCCCCCCCCCCCCCCAACGUGCUGCCUUCCCGUCCCAUUUGUGUCCUCUGGCCAUCGCCC